GUCAACAUAUUUUCGGAUUUAUUCCAGAUGAUGAUUGAUCCUCCACUGGCAAUUUCAUUUGGACACUGUAAGGAGGAUAAGAAGAAGUGUGGGAUAUUGUACAGAGGAUUACAAAAUAGUUUGGUGGUCUGAAGAUUAGAGAAAAGGGCAGUGUCCAAAGGAAAGGCUGCAGUGGAACACAAACUUGCCGAUUUGAAGAAGAUGGAGCAGAACUGCAUCACCUUAGUGUCGGUGGUGGGCACUCUUGGCGGCCUCAUGAUACUAGCAAUCCUCGCUACCCUCUGCUUCUCUGUCAGCAAGAGACACUCAGGAAUCAAAAAGACUCCCGUUAGCAGAGAUAACAGGAAGAAGUAAAGUUGGACGGACAAACAAGCCUCAGGAACUAACUCGUUCGUAAGUAGAGGAGCAUCUAUAUACAGGUGGGUGAUGAUUUAUUCUUGUCAAAAAAUUAUCAAUGAAGGAACUGUUUUCUCCAUGUAUAAACUUUGAUUGAUCAAACUUUCAGUAAGUUGUUAGCAGGGAUGGCAUAAGGAUGCUAUUGGAAAAAAAUAUUUUCUGCUUGUUGGUUAUCCUUGGUCAUAUUGACUAAAUGUCAGUUAUGGAUAAAUAAUAAAUUAGAUGCUUUUUCAGCAGAUGCAGCUCACCAACUUACAAUAGGCUAACUUAACUUACAACGUGCUUUCAGUAGUCUAUGUUGAACCAUAUGACAGUCAUCUGAGUAAAAACUCGCACAAUAUUCAUUGACUGUCCUAUGUGUUAGACUUUACCGCCAUUGGUGAAUAGAAUUUUAGUUUUACAUUUGUAAAUAUUAUUUAAAACAUAUAUGAACAGCAAAUAAGUGUUGCUUUCAUAUUCAUAUGUAGAGAAAUGACAUAU
rnacentral:lncRNA from 1 species